rnacentral:lncRNA from 1 species
UCCAGCGAAAUUAUUUAUUUGCUGUUCUCUGUAUGUGACAUCCCAUCUUCUCCCUUUAUGUCUUUGCUAGGAAGCACCCUAUGCCUGAAAUGUCCUUCCUUCCCAUUUCUACCUCUUGGACUCCCUAGCUCCAUUGAGAUUCUUUUCAAUUAUUGCUCACUGCACAAAAUAGUAAAAGAGAAGUUCAGGUCCUCAUUCAAAAACAUGGAGAAUGCUGAGGAAGCAAGAUAUCCGGGAACCCCCACUAGGGUUGUUCCAUUGCUGGCGUACUUUCAUUUUUAAUAAAUACAUGAUAUUGAUUGCUGCUCUUCAUGUGAUUUAUUGUGAAAAAA